UAUAUAUAUAUAUAUAUGAAAGUCCUUUGAUGGACUUAUAAUACGUUGGAUGCACCGAUUAUAGGGUUGGUGAUAGUCGAAUAUUACCAAAAAUAAAAUACUAAGCAAUUCUUUUUCAUGUUAUGGAGAAAAUCGACUUAAAUCGUGUAUAUAACCUCUAAAGAUAUGUUGAUUAUAAACUAAGAAAGAGAGGGUCGGGCGCGUGAGAUCUCUCCUCUCUCCUCCUUUUUCUUCUUCUAAUCACAACUCCGUGCACCGUGUGAAGGGUCUUCUUCGGCGAUUCCGGCCUUGUUGAGGAUCCUAUGGUCCAUGGUACUUACCGGGGAGAUAAACAAAUCGGUAAGAGCUAUGUCGCUGGUGUGGCUUUGUGGUUAGAAGAAGGAAGUCUUCAGUAAGGAACGAGAAAGAAACGGCGGUUAGAUCUAGACGACUGGAGACGCGGGAGGUUUUGUCACGGCCGACGGUUAGACGGGGGAGGUUUUCAGUUGGAAAGGCAAAGCUAAGCCACCGUUGAUGGUUAUCAAGAUCUACUCCCAACUGCUUUAUCUCUAUUAUGACUGAACUGUGGCUUUCGAAUUGUGUAUCGGUUUCUUCUUCCUUCUCUACUCAACUCUACGGUGGCUGGAUGGUGACGGCCCUGUGUCGCCUACUCCGUUGACUCCCGUCUUCCUGGCUCGUCGGAGGUCCUGAUCCGGCGAGUAUCCGCUGCUAAGUGGGAAGGCGGCUCUGUUCGGGUUCUCCAAUCAAAGAUUAGGGUUUCUGGUUUAAUUCGGUUAGCUACUGAUUUAGAUUUUAAAAACCUGAAUCGAUUUUGGUUUGGUUAGCUAGUUGGUUUGGUGUAAUUGGACUGGGCCCUAAAGGGAUUAAUGUAUGGGCCUAUUACAAAAAUAGUCCAUUGAAUAUAUGUUUUAAUAAAUUGCAAGGCUUUUACAAAAAAAAAAAAAUGCUGAUUAGCUUUCUUAAAACAAUUACUCCAACUUUGAUUUAAAGUUUUUUAUCUUCCCAGAAAAAAAUAUAAUAUAAAAAUCUUAUUAUUAUUUAUCAGUUUUCCUGACGCUCCUAUAUUAUAACUAAAU
rnacentral:lncRNA from 1 species